GUACUGAUGAAGAGUCCCAAACUAGGAUGAAACAGCCGUCCAGUAU
rnacentral:hammerhead_ribozyme from 1 species